AUGAACGCUGGCGGCGUGCCUAAUACCUUCAAGUCGAGCGAACAGAUGAGGAGCUUGCUCCUCUGACGUUAGCGGCGGACGGGUGAGUAACACGUGGAUAACCUACCUAUAAGACUGGGAUAACUUCGGGAAACCGGAGCUAAUACCGGAUAAUAUAUUGAACCGCAUGGUUCAAUAGUGAAAGACGGUUUUGCUGUCACUUAUAGAUGGAUCCGCGCCGCAUUAGCUAGUUGGUAAGGUAACGGCUUACCAAGGCAACGAUGCGUAGCCGACCUGAGAGGGUGAUCGGCCACACUGGAACUGAGACACGGUCCAGACUCCUACGGGAGGCAGCAGUAGGGAAUCUUCCGCAAUGGGCGAAAGCCUGACGGAGCAACGCCGCGUGAGUGAUGAAGGUCUUCGGAUCGUAAAACUCUGUUAUUAGGGAAGAACAAAUGUGUAAGUAACUAUGCACGUCUUGACGGUACCUAAUCAGAAAGCCACGGCUAACUACGUG
rnacentral:rRNA from 1 species